rnacentral:rRNA from 1 species
UACGUAGGGUGCGAGCGUUGUCCGGAAUUAUUGGGCGUAAAGAGCUCGUAGGCGGCUUGUCGCGUCGGAUGUGAAAGCCCGGGGCUUAACUCCGGGUCUGCAUUCGAUACGGGCAGGCUAGAGUUCGGUAGGGGAGAUCGGAAUUCCUGGUGUAGCGGUGAAAUGCGCAGAUAUCAGGAGGAACACCAAUGGCGAAGGCAGAUCUCUGGGCCGUAACUGACGCUGAGGAGCGAAAGCGUGGGGAGCAAACAGG